rnacentral:rRNA from 1 species
GACGAGGGAUCCUAGCGUUGUUCGGAAUCAUUGGGCGUAAAGCGGGUGCAGGUGACUAUGUAAGUCAGGUGUGAAAGCCUAGGGCUCAACCCUAGAAGUGCAUUUGAUACUGCGUAGCUUGAGUGGUAGAGAGGAUAGUAGAAUUCUUGGUGUAGUGGUGAAAUACGUAGAUAUCAAGAGGAAUACCGGAGGCGAAGGCGGCUAUCUGGCUACACACUGACACUCAGACCCGAAAGUGCGGGGAUCAAACAGG